rnacentral:rRNA from 1 species
GACAGAGGGUGCAAACGUUGUUCGGAAUUACUGGGCGUAAAGCGCGUGUAGGCUGCUUGGAAAGUCGGAUGUGAAAGCCCUGGGCUCAACCCAGGAAGUGCAUUCGAAACUGCAGAGCUCGAGUCCUGGAGAGGAAGGCGGAAUUCUCGGUGUAGAGGUGAAAUUCGUAGAUAUCGAGAGGAACACCGGUGGCGAAGGCGGCCUUCUGGACAGUGACUGACGCUGAGACGACGA